UUUGCGUCGAAGGUAUACCGGUAAGGAGUGCUGGAGCGAAUAGAAGUGAGCAUGCAGGCAUGAGUAGCGAUAAUUAAUGUGAGAAUCAUUAACGCCGUAAACCCAAGGUUUCCUACGCGAUGCUCGUCAUCGUAGGGUUAGUCGGGUCCUAAGUCGAGUCCGAAAGGGGUAGACGAUGGCAAAUUGGUUAAUAUUCCAAUACCAACAUUAGUGUGCGAUGGAAGGACGCUUAGGGCUAAGGGGGCUAGCGGAUGGAAGUGCUAGUCUAAGGUCGUAGGAGGUUAUACAGGCAAAUCCGUAUAACAAUACUCCGAGAACUGAAAGGCUUUUUGAAGUCUUCGGAUGGAUAGAAGAACCCCUGAUGCCGUCGAGCCAAGAAAAGUUUCUAAGUUUAGCUAAUGUUGCCCGUACCGUAAACCGACACAGGUGGGUGGGAUGAGUAUUCUAAGGCGCGUGGAAGAACUCUCUUUAAGGAACUCUGCAAAAUAGCACCGUAUCUUCGGUAUAAGGUGUGGUUAGCUUUGUAUUAGGAUUUACUCCGAAAGCAAGGAAACUUACAACAAAGAGUCCCUCCCGACUGUUUACCAAAAACACAGCACUCUGCUAACUCGUAAGAGGAUGUAUAGGGUGUGACGCCUGCCCGGUGCUCGAAGGUUAAUUGAUGGGGUUAGCAUUAGCGAAGCUCUUGAUCGAAGCCCGAGUAAACGGCGGCCGUAACUAUAACGGUCCUAAGGUAGCGAAAUUCCUUGUCGGUUAAAUACCGACCUGCAUGAAUGGCGUAACGAGAUGGGAGCUGUCUCAAAGAGGGAUCCAGUGAAAUUGUAGUGGAGGUGAAAAUUCCUCCUACCCGCGGCAAGACGGAAAGACCCCGUGGACCUUUACUACAGCUUGACACUGCUACUUGGAUAAGAAUGUGCAGGAUAGGUGGGAGGCUUUGAGUAUAUGACGCCAGUUGUAUAUGAGCCAUUGUUGAGAUACCACUCUUUCUUAUUUGGGUAGCUAACCAGCUUGAGUUAUCCUCAAGUGGGACAAUGUCUGGUGGGUAGUUUGACUGGGGCGGUCGCCUCCCAAAUAAUAACGGAGGCUUACAAAGGUUGGCUCAGAACGGUUGGAAAUCGUUCGUAGAGUAUAAAGGUAUAAGCCAGCUUAACUGCAAGACAUACAAGUCAAGCAGAGACGAAAGUCGGUCUUAGUGAUCCGGUGGUUCUGUGUGGAAGGGCCAUCGCUCAAAGGAUAAAAGGUACCCCGGGGAUAACAGGCUGAUCUCCCCCAAGAGCUCACAUCGACGGGGAGGUUUGGCACCUCGAUGUCGGCUCAUCGCAUCCUGGGGCUGGAGCAGGUCCCAAGGGUAUGGCUGUUCGCCAUUUAAAGCGGUACGCGAGCUGGGUUCAGAACGUCGUGAGACAGUUCGGUCCCUAUCUGCCGUGGGCGUAAGAAGAUUGAAGAGAUUUGACCCUAGUACGAGAGGACCGGGUUGAACAAACCACUGGUGUAGCUGUUGUUCUGCCAAGAGC
rnacentral:rRNA from 1 species